rnacentral:rRNA from 1 species
AAGAGACAGCAGUCGCCACGGGAAUACAGAGGGUGCGAGCGUUAAUCGGAUUUACUGGGCGUAAAGCGUGCGUAGGCGGCUUUUUAAGUCGGAUGUGAAAUCCCUGAGCUUAACUUAGGAAUUGCAUUCGAUACUGGGAAGCUAGAGUAUGGGAGAGGAUGGUAGAAUUCCAGGUGUAGCGGUGAAAUGCGUAGAGAUCUGGAGGAAUACCGAUGGCGAAGGCAGCCAUCUGGCCUAAUACUGACGCUGAGGUACGAAAGCAUGGGGAGCAAACAGGAUUAGAUACCCCAGUAGUCCCUGUCUCUUAUAC